UACAGAGGCCUCGAGCGUUAGGCGGAAUCACUGGGCUUAAAGCGUGUGUAGGCGGACUUCUAAGUACCUUGUGAAAUCCCACGGCUUACCCGUGGAACUGCUCGGUAUACUGGUCGUCUUGAGCCUUCUAGGGGCGAGCGGAACAAAUGGUGGAGCGGUGAAAUGCGUAGAUAUCAUUUGGAACGCCAAUGGUGAAAACAGCUCGCUGGGGAAGUGCUGACGCUGAGACACGAAAGCCAGGGGAGCGAACGGGAUUAGAUACCCCGGUAGUCCUGGCCGUAAACGAUGUCGACUAGAUCGCAGAGCCUCUGACGGCUUUGCGGUCGUAGCAAAAGUGCUAAGUCGACCGCCUGGGAAGUACGGUCGCAAGGCUAAAACUCAAAG
rnacentral:rRNA from 1 species